CAGGAAGCGUCAGAUUGAGCACCAGAGUUGAGCAGUACAGAGAAGCAGCAGCACAGCCCGAGCCGACACUGAGACUGGAACUGGUGGACAGACACAAAGACAGAACUCUUACGGUGAAAAUCUUCACCAAUGAUAUCCCUCAAAAUGCUGCCUUCGUCUUGUCUGAUCUUUCUCCUGAUGGUCUCAGGAGCUUUGGGGAAUAAAUGGAGUGUGACAUACAGCCAGACAAAUCUCUGUGCUUUAAAAGGAUCUACAGUGUUUAUGAACGGCUCGUAAACACACCCAACACAUCUUAAUGUGACUAAGACAUUUUGGUUAAUUAACCCAUUUGAUGGUAAAGACACUGGUCUGUGCAAUGAACCAGGUUACUCAGGCAGAGUGGAGUAUUUAGGAGAUGAAGAGAAACACUUCUCCCUCAGACUGAGUGACGUGAAGAAAUCAGAUCAAAAUGAAUACUACUUCAGAAUCAGAACGAAUGAAGAAAAAUGGUUUGGUAAACCUGGAAUCAGAC